rnacentral:rRNA from 1 species
CAGUAGCCGCGGGAAUACAGAGGGUGCAAGCGUUAAUCGGAUUUACUGGGCGUAAAGGGCGCGUAGGUGGUUAUGUAAGUGAGAUGUGAAAUCCCCGGGCUCAACCUGGGAACUGCAUCUUAUACUGCGUAGCUGGAGUGCAGUAGAGGGUAGUGGAAUUUCCGGUGUAGCGGUGAAAUGCGUAGAUAUCGGAAGGAACACCAGUGGCGAAGGCGGCUACCUGGACUGACACUGACACUGAGGCGCGAAAGCGUGGGGAGCAAACAGGAUUAGAUACCCGCGUAGUCCCUGUCUCUUAUAC